GAGGGUAUAGCUCACUUGGAGAGCGUGUGCCUUGCAUGCAUGAGGUCCUGGGUUCAAUCCCCAAUACCUCCC
rnacentral:tRNA from 1 species